AAGAAGAAAAAUGUGUCAUUCAUUUUCUGUCAAGGGGAGAAAAAGCCAUUUUCCAACAAAUUCCAAACAAUUCUAGAUCUGAGAAAAAAGAAGAUACCUUUUGAUCCUUGGAAUCAAACAGAGACAUCUCAGCAAAACAGCAGGAAUAGAGGAAGUCUGGACAUAGAUCUGAAUCCUGGCUUAUGAACUGUUUCCAUCUAGAUCUCAAGACCAUCCUCCAUGGGGAUGUUUUCCAAACUGCUGCUGGUCUGAGAUGACUGAAAUGAUGGCUUUUAGAACUUCUCUGUGGUUUCCUGUUAACGUACAUAUAUUGCUUCAGAAUCAUACCUGGAAGGCUCGAGCCCUGCCUGGUGAUAAAUGUUAGUCCUCAGGAAAAAUAUUCCAAAGCUGGUGUAGCCCUUGAACUAGAGGAUGAAUAAGGCUGCCUGAAAAUUGGAGCCUUACCCUUCUUGUGCCUCAGCUGCAGUCCAUGCACUACAGAAAGAUAGAUGGAAUCACUGGGAUCUGCCUUUUGAACCGGGCUCUGCAGAAAGAAAGCUGCAGAUAUUGAACUUCAAAGCAAGAGAUAACUGAGAGAAAAAAAUGUUCCAAAUGGUGGAGUGUCUUCUGACAUUUGGCAGAAAUCACCAGGGGAUGUGGAGGUGUUACAUCUGUUCAUGGCUAAGGAUGGCCUUCAAAAGAACAUUUUUACUUGCCUUCUCAAAAUCAUUUGGAGUUACAUCUGCUUCUUUGCAAGGUAUCAAGUUCCUUACCAGGAACUGCUUCAUGGUUUUUAAUGUUGUUAAGUUUUCACUUUGAAUUUCACUAUAGGUUUAGAAAAUUACAUCCUAUUCUUCGUGUGCUCUGUAAAGGAGCCAGUUCAGUGUCUGAACACAGAAAACUUGCUGAAUUUCCCCAGGGCUGGUGAUCUUAUUACUUUCUAUUAGUUGAAUUAAUCCUCCUGAGAACCAUUCAAUUUUUUUACUCCUUAAAACUUUCAGAGCUCCAUAUUAUUAUGAAAGGUUUUACUGAGCUAAAGUUGUUAGGACAGGGUUUAAUUUUGCAGCCCACACAGUUACAGCCUUAUGAGACUGCCUGGUUUGCCUUCCAGUGCGUAAAAUAUGAGACUUUGAAUCAUUCACCUCCAGGAAGCACUUUUCAAAACUGGGGAGAAAAUUACAUAGCAGCAGAAUAUGAAUUGAUAUGUCAGUGAACACCUGUCCUUCCUUAUCUGUUGCGUUAUCUUUUCCCAGCCUCCUUUUGAAUGAUCCCAAGACCUGCUGCUCCAACUGUAACCCUCAGCAAUUGUUGAAUUCCACUUUUCAGCAGUAAUUGACUCACUCUUUUUCCUGCAGCUCGAGCAGGAUCAUUUUCAGCUUGCAGAUGAGUUUCUGGCUAGGAGGAAAUUGUUUUCCCACUGCCAUGCAGGGUCUCUCAUCCACAGUUUGCAGCAUUUUUGAUUCAUAAAUAUUUUCUGUGAUGGAGUAAUUUGGUUUAAUCCUCCUUGCCCCUCUACCAAUGCCAGGGAUGUGCUUGUGUGCUAACACAGGAUCUACAGCACAAAUUCCUUCAUCAGUGGUUUCGGUGGCUCCAGACAGAUCUUUCACAAAGCUGUCUUUAAUUGGUGGGUUCUGUGUGCAGUAGUUUCAUGUCAACAUGUAAAUCAGAUUGAGACAAUCGACUGCAGUGGGAGAUUUGAUGGGAUGAGCAAUGAAAGCCCCUGCUCUGAGAGGAAUAGUGGUGUUUGUUUGUUUGUGUGUUCAGGACUCUACCUCAAAAUGUACCUAUUCCAACACUGAAUUUCAGUGUAGAAUGUGUCUCUGACAUAGCAGGAGUAUAUUUCUAAAAUUGAUUUGGAAUGCAGAUUAAUAAUAUACUCAGUACAGAUUUCUCUGUACAUUUCUUAUGCAUCUCUUAAUUUUCUACAGGAGCAGAAAUCUCUGCUGUAAUUCCAGCUCUAGGAAGCUGACAGGGCUCAGAAAAGAUAAUCUGACUGCUGCAUUUGCAAAACAUCCCUCCCUUCCAGGACCAAAGUCAAGGACAACAAAAAAUGCCAAAGGAAUUAGUAUAAAUUACAUCCUUCAUACUCUACACAUCCAGGGGUAGUGUUUGUCAUCAGUUGUGAUCUCUGAUCACUCAGUGAAUGUGCUGGUCCUGCAAAUGCUUUAAUCCAGGCAGGACUCUUAAGAAAUAUUCCCAGUAAAUACCACAAUGGAUCACAUCAGUUACCAGAUUGAAACCACUCUUGAUUUCCAAAUUUUUGACAGGCUGACAACAUUGGGCUGUUCAGCCUGGGGGAAAAAAGGGUUAGGUGGAGACCUGAUGACAGCUUUCCAGUAUGAGAAGGGGCUACAGGGAAGAUGGAGAGGGACAAUUCUUCAGGAAUUGGAGUGACAGGACAGAAUGGCAGAAUGGGUUCAAACUGCCAGAGGGGAAGUUUAGAUGGGAUAUUGGGAAGGAAUUGUUCCCUGGGAGGGUAGGGAGGCCCUGGCACAGAGUGUCCAGAGAAGCUGUGGCUGUUCCUGGAUCCCUUGCCAAGGCCCUGGAUCCCUGAAUCCAAGGCCAGCUUGGACCCUGGGGCUUGGAACAGCCUGGGACAGUGAAAGGUGUCCCUGGCCAUGGCAGGAGAUGGAACCAAAUUAUCUUCAAUAUCUUUUCUAACCCAAACCAUUCUAUGAUUCUAAAUGAACCUCAGACAAUUUGAAUGGUCCUGCUUUUUUUCAAUUGUAGUUUUAACUCAAAUAUUCAUGGUUUUAAAAAUGUGUGCUUGAUGUAUCCAGAUAAUAAAAUGGGCAAUGAUUGUACUUUCCCCAUCAUCCUGAGAAUAUAAAUUCCUGCUCCAUUAAA